rnacentral:sRNA from 1 species
UGGCUAAGUAAGCACCCUUUUUGUUAUUUCAGAAUCAGAAAUGUUAAGAAGGAAUAUAAAGGAAAGUCUGGAAGAGUGGAAGCAUUGAAAGGCUUGCUCUUUGACAUAUAUGAAGGUCAAAUCACGGCAAUCCUGGGUCACAGUGGAGCUGGCAAAUCUUCACUGCUAAAUAUUCUUAAUGGAUCGUCUGUUCCAACAGAAGGAUCAGUUACCAUCCGUAAUAAAAAUCUCUCUGAAAUGCAAGACUUGGAGGAAAUCAGAAAGAUAACCGGCGUCUGUCCUCAAUUCAAUGUUCAGUUUGACAUACUCACCGUGAAGGAAAACCUCAGCCUGUUUGCUAAAAUAAAAGGGAUUCAUCCAAAGGAAAUGGAACAACAGGUACAACGAAUAUUAUUGGAAUUGGACAUGCAAAACAUUCAAGAUAACCUUGCUAAACAUUUAAGUGAAGGACAGAAAAGAAAGCUGACUUUUGGGAUUGCCAUUUUAGGAGAUCCUCAAAUUUUGCUCUUAGAUGAACCAACUACUGGAUUGGAUCCCUUUUCCAGAGAUCAAGUGUGGAGCCUCCUGAGAGAGCGUAGAGCAGAUCAUGUGAUCCUUUUCAGUACCCAGUCCAUGGAUGAGGCUGACAUCCUGGCUGAUAGAAAAGUGAUCAUGUCCAAUGGGAGACUGAAGUGUGCAGGUUCUUCUAUCUUUUUGAAAAGAAGGUGGGGUCUUGGAUAUCACCUAAGUUUACAUAGGGAUGAAAUAUGUAAUCCAGAACAAAUAACAUCCUUCAUUACUCAUCAUAUCCCUGAUGCUAAAUUAAAAACAGAAAACAAAGAAAAGCUUGUAUAUACUUUGCCACUGGAAAGGACAAAUACAUUUCCAGAUCUUUUCAGUGAUCUGGACAAGUGUUCUGACCAGGGAGUGACAGGUUAUGACAUUUCCAUGUCAACUCUAAAUGAAGUCUUUAUGAAACUGGAAGGACAGUCAACUAUUGAACAAGAUUUCGAACAAGUGGAGAUGAUAAGAGACUCAGAAAGCCUCAAUGAAAUGGAGCUGGCUCACUCUUCCUUCUCUGAAAUGCAGACAGCUGUGAGUGACAUGGGCCUCUGGAGAAUGCAAGUCUUUGCCAUGGCACGGCUCCGUUUCUUAAAGUUAAAACGUCAGACAAAAGUGUUAUUGACCCUGUGAGUAGCAGAGCACUGUGGUUUUGUUAGAUCAUGAGUUUCAAAAGAGGUUCAAACCAGAAGAUAAUUUAAAACUAGAACACAGUAUCUGACAUUCCUGCCACGGGGUGGAUAAAUUCAGCAUUUAAUUUUUCUGACAGUGGGAAUACCUGUAUGUUCACACUUGAUUAGGCUUAUAUGUGCAGGUGUGUUUUGUUUUCGUGGUUUGAUAACCUGGUGUUUAUAUAGUAAUGCCUUCUGGUACUGCGUAGCAUGCUAGAGUAUUAUCUUCAGAAUUUUAGCACCUAGAAUCAUGAUUGGCAUAAGGCAGGCUUGGCACUCAACAAAUACUUGUGGAAUGUCUUACUAAAUAAAUAAAAUUCCUAGAGAUUCAUAUGCUAAUUUUUCUUUAUUGUUUAGAUUAUUGGUAUUUGGAAUCGCAAUGUUCCCUUUGAUUGUCGAAAAUAUAAUGUAUGCUAUGUUAAAUGAAAAGAUCGAUUGGGAAUUUAAAACCGAAUUAUAUUUUCUCUCUCCCGGACAACUUCCUCAGGAACCCCG